rnacentral:tRNA from 1 species
AGGAGUGUGGCCUAGUGGCUAGGGCACUGGACUGGGACUCAGGUGCCCUGGGUUUAAUUUACAGCUCUGCUA